rfam:Oryza meridionalis cultivar OR44 (W2112) chromosome 11, whole genome shotgun sequence.
UUUAAACGCAGCCAAGAAUUUCCUUGUUCAACUUUGAUCGUCCGUCUUAUUUGAAAUUUUUUAUAAUUAUUAUUUGUAUUGUUAUUAGAUGAUAAAACAUGAAUAAUACUUUAUGUGGGACUUAUGUUUUUUUUUAUUUUAAAAAAUAAAUAAGACGGACGAUUAAAGUUGGACAUGGAAACUCACGGCUACACUUAAA